UGAGUAACCUGCCCUUAACUCUGGGAUAAGCCUGGGAAACUGGGUCUAAUACCGGAUAUGACUCCUCAUCGCAUGGUGGGGGGUGAAAGCUUUUUGNGGUUUUGGAUGGACUCGCGGCCUAUCAGCUAGUUGGUGAGGUAACGGCUCACCAAGGCGACGACGGGUANCUGGUCUGAGAGGAUGGCCAGCCCACAGUUGGGACUGAGACACGGCCCAGACUCCGUACGGGAGCAG
rnacentral:rRNA from 1 species